rnacentral:rRNA from 1 species
UCGAGAGGCUUCGGCAAUGGGGGAAACCCUGACCGAGCGACGCCGCGUGGGGGAUGAAGGCCCUUGGGUUGUAAACCCCUUUUGUUCGGGAAGAAGUGCGAUCAGGUGAAUAAUCUGGUCGUUUGACGGUACCGGACGAAUAAGCUCCGGCUAACUCCGUGCCAGCAGCCGCGGUAACACGGGGGGAGCAAGCGUUGUUCGGAAUCACUGGGCGUAAAGGGCGUGCAGGCGGUCAGGUAAGUGUGAUGUGAAAUCCCUCGGCUCACCCGAGGACCGGCAUCGCAUACUGCUUGGCUUGAGUAUGGGAGAGGAUGUGGGAAUUCCUGGUGUAGCGGUGAAAUGCGUAGAUAUCAGGAGGAACACCGGUGGCGAAGGCGCACAUCUGGCCCAAUACUGACGCUGAGGCGCGAAAGCUAGGGGAGCAAAC